rnacentral:rRNA from 1 species
AUGUCCUAGGGGGUAUUGCACCUACCGAAGACUAUCAAACUCCGAAUGCCGUCAUCUUAUACUUGGGAGUCAGACUGUGGGUGAUAAGAUUCAUAGUCGAAAGGGCAACAGCCCAGAUCGUCAGCUACGGUCCCUAAAUGUAAGUUAAGUGGUAAAGGAUGUGGGAUUGCACAGACAACCAGGAUGUUGGCUUAGAAGCAGCCACUCAUUCAAAG